rnacentral:rRNA from 1 species
CACUGGUGGCGACCGGCGCACGGGUGAGUAACACGUGUGCAACCAACCCCGUACCGGGAGAUAACCCGCGGAAACGUGGACUAACAUCCCAUGAGACUCUAGAUCCGCAUGGCUCUAGAUUUAAAAUUCCGGUGGUACGGGACGGGCACGCGCGACAUUAGGUAGUUGGCGGGGUAACGGCCCACCAAGCCGACGAUGUCUAGGGGUUCUGAGAGGGAGGUCCCCCACACUGGAACUGAGACACGGUCCAG